UGCUUUGGGUAAUCAGAGAUGUAAUCCAUAUAGAGGUAUUUUUACUAUAAAUACUAUUAUACAAGCUAAUCAAAGGAAGAUAUUAGAUCAAGUGGUUGAGAUUGGUUCAGUUCAGUAUUGUGUGAUUAGAAAAUUUAGGGACCCUGAUGCGUUUUGGAGAUAUACUAAAGCGACUAGUAGAAGUAAUGAACCUACUAGGGUGUAGAAUAGAAAGUAAAGGCCUGCGUUUAGUCGUUCUGUUUGAUUACCUCAUUGGGUGAUAAUAAUCAGAGUGGGCACUAGUUUGGCUUCAAAUAAAAUAUAGAACAUAAUUAGCUCGAUGGCAGUAAAGGUUAUAAUUAGGAAUAGUUGUAAAAGGGUGAGUAUUGUGAUGUAUAGUUUUUUGGGGCUAGGGUUUCUUUUGAUAAGUGUGAUUAGCUGGCUGUAAGUAUUAGUGGUAGGAGUCAU